rnacentral:SRP_RNA from 1 species
GCCGCACGUGGUGGCGCAUGCCAGUAGUCCCAGCUAUUCGGGUGGCUGAGGCUGGAGGAUCUCUUGAGUCCAGGAGUUCUGGGCUGUAGUGCGCUAUGCCGAUUGGGUGUCCGCACUAAGUUCGGCAUUAAUAUGGUGAUCUCCUGGGAGUGGGGGACCACCAGGUUGCCUAAGGAGGGGUGAACCAGCCCAGGUUGGAAACAGAGCAGGUCAAAACUCCUGUGCUGAUCAGUAGUGGGAUCGUGCCUGUGAAUAGCCACUGCACUCCAGUCUGGGCAACAUAGUGAGACCCCGUCUCU